GACGUAGGGCGCGAGCGUUGUCCGGAUUUAUUGGGCGUAAAGAGCUCGUAGGCGGCUCGUUGCGUCAACCGUGAAAACCCGGGGCUUAACUUCGGGCUUGCGGUUGAUACGGGCAGACUAGAGGUAUGCAGGGGAGAACGGAAUUCCUGGUGUAGCGGUGGAAUGCGCAGAUAUCAGGAGGAACACCGGUGGCGAAGGCGGUUCUCGUGGGCAUUACCUGACGCUGAGGAGCGAAAGCAUGGGGAGCGAACAGG
rnacentral:rRNA from 1 species